rnacentral:rRNA from 1 species
CUUGAUAAACUUAUAAGAGGUCCAGCCUGCCCAGUGACUCUGUUCAACGGCCGCGGUAUCCUAACCGUGCGAAGGUAGCGUAAUCACUUGUUCUUUAAAUGAGGACUAGUAUGAAUGGCACCACGAAGGUUAUACUGUCUCCUUUUUCUAAUCAGUGAAACUAAUCUUCCCGUGAAGAAGCGGGAAUAAAAAUAUAAGACGAGAAGACCCUAUGGAGCUUUAAACAAAUAUACACCUGCCUUCCAAUCAAAAAUCUCAGUAGACAAAUAAUUACCCAGGCAUUUUGAUAUAGCGUUUUAGGUUGGGGUGACCGCGGAGUAAAAAACAACCUCCGCAACGAACGGGAAAUCUUUCCCUAAACCAAGGGCCACGACCCCAAGUAUCGAUAAAUCGACACUAAUUGACCCAAUAAACUUGAUCAAUGAAC